CGUUACAGUGCUAAUGAAAUUUCAAAUGUUUCGUAUAGGAGACACACGUAUUCGCGAAAGGUACAAGCGCUCGAAUACCUUCCUAAAUAACUCUAAAAAUUUCGUCAUUCUUCGCAAAGUUCGACAUUAAAUGUUAAAAUGUCGAAGUUUAAGUAACUCGAACGUUCCUACCUUAUUAUAUUUCCGGGUGAAAUCUUGGAUUGCCUGCACACCGUGUGUGCAAUAGUGUGCAUGGAUCGGAUCAGUAACGUACGCUGCCGCGUACAUUGUUUAUUUUCACCGGAGGCAAAACGUAUAGGAUGCUCGACGUGUAUUUACCACGGAUAACGGAACCAUGCCGAUGCUCGAGUCUUCCUCGUUGCGCGUGCGAGUUCGAGCGAGAAAACGGGACAGGCAUAAGGAGAAAGACGACCAACGAUGGAAAGAAACGAGGAAGAAACCCGUAUAGUAUCGUCAUCCGAACGAAUCCGGACUCACAGAGAAUUUCUUCGAUCGAAGAUUACAUCCCUCACGCGACGAAUGUUUUUGACGGGUAACGGUAGUCGAUACGCGACUACGCUCGUCUUGAUCUAUCUGAGAAAUUAUGUACAUCAUCUUACGACGGAUUCGAUAUCUCUGGCCGUUUAAGCGGAAAUUAGAUCUCAGCCAACUCGACCUAUCAUUGAGGAUAUAAGAGAUAAUUAACGCCUGUAGUGGUUGGACCUUGUUAAACUUACAUUAUGUGAUUUUAAGUCUUUCGACUGGGGUGUCGGCUUGGGCUACUUGGUAUCAUGACAAUUUAGGGUUAGACUACUCAGUUUUGGAACUUUUGAUGCAAUUGAACUUUACUAACGAUUUCUAUUACGCAGCAAGUAAAGUAUAGAAUAAAAUUAAAUACCUUGAAUUUUGGUAAUCUAACGUAAAUUAUUACAGUCAUCUAUAGGCAAACGACUAAACAUGCAAAAGGUAUAAUUAUUUAUGACGGUCGAUACUUUUAAUGUCUUCAAUAUUUUAGUAUUACGACUAGGUAUUCUGAAAAUUUUGAAGGGGAUAAAAGAACCAAACAUUUCCAUGAAGUGUUAAAUACGAAAACCAAGUAUUUAAUAUAGUAUUAUCUAUAUUUUGAUAAUAUUUAAUAUUUCCACCGAAAUAUAAUUUUUAUUUCGGAUCAUAUAGAUGCGAGAAGAACGAUAAUAACUAAUUAUAAUAAUUGAAUUAUACACUUGAAAGAAAAUGCUAUUGAUAAAUAAGACGAAGCUUCAAGAUCUCCUUUUCUUCCGGUAGCACAGGCAACAACCGGAAGAAAGGAACAAAGGCGGCUAGAAGAAACAUUUAAAGUGUCCAGCCAAUAGGACCUACACUUUUAGCAGCAAGUAUAAGAGAGGUGAAUUAAGAAUUCCCUGAAAGUCGGGAUGGUCUCGAAUAAACAACUCUUCAGACUUCCACCAGUUUGAAAAGAGAGUUUAAUAAGUUGUUCCACAAAUAUUUUAAAGAAAAAGUUUAAUAAAAGUUUCCCUAUUACGCGUUCGUUCGAUAAAAUAUAUUCUUUUUUUAUA
rnacentral:misc_RNA from 1 species